rnacentral:lncRNA from 1 species
CCAAAGAGCAAAAAAAAUAUAUAGGUCACCGUGCUUGUUUUGGAGAUAUGAGCCAUUGAAAUUUUGGCGGGAAAAUAUUCUCUCUUGACUUUUCAUAGCUUUAUUAUUGACAAGUUAAAGUUCUCAAAAACUGUUAAAAAGUAAUUAAAAUUUUAUAAGACUUUUACAGAUGGCUUAUCAUUAUACAUGUUAAAGAAUUUCAAAAAGAAAAAUGGGGGUCACCGGGCAAAUUUUUUCAAUGCAUUCGAAUGGACAAAACCAGCGGAUUCCGAAAAUCUAACAAAAAAUCCAAAACAUGACAAGCC